GGACCGGUUGGUUGGAGCGGCGUGGUCGCGCUUAUCGUUUCCCUUUGUUGUUUUGCAGCAAUUUUGUUUCCGUGCGCGAGGUGCAGUGGGUGCUAAAAUGCCAAGUAAGUGUUGGGCGCCUGGGUGCAUCGGCAACUACGAUGCGGGGAAGAGGAUACAAGUGUUUUCUUUCACUAAACACGACGACACUUUCAAGAAGUGGCUACGCGCCAUUCCUAGGAAGGACUUCUCGCCCACUUCGUACAAUAAGUUCUGCCAUGCUGAAGUACAUGGGGGCUUUCUGGACGCUGCCUGGCACCUGCUCAAAGGCAAAGCGCAAAAGAUGAGGACAGACGGAAGAACACAGCACUGGCGCUGACUUCUACUGAUCCUUAUUUGCGAUAUCGCCAGAACUGUAUCCAUCAGCAAAAGUAAUAAAAAAACAACUUUUGCAUUAA